UCAUUCUGAUCAGUUGGUGUAGUGGGUAACAACGCUGCCUCUUCGGUGGAGGAUGGGGUUCAAACGUCCAUCUGAGCAAGUGCGCUAUGCUACAACAAUAAGAGUCCUUGGGAAAGACUCCUAACGCUAAGAUCACAUACCUCUGACCCUACUUUGAAGUUGGGAGCAACACAACCUGUUUUAGAUGUGAUAUCCCUGGCCAAUGUACUAAAUUUGGAACAUUAUUCAGUUUUGGAGCGACGUGUCAGCAAAGCACUUCGCAUUGAAGUUUUACAACAAGAUACAACUUAGGCUAUCCUCUCAGAAAAGGUGGGAGAAUUGCUGACUACUGAUGCUUACGGAGAUGUGGUUGAACAUCAACAUUGCCGACUCGACUACUGAUCUAGCAGGCUGCACGUCUUCCGUGUCAACAGAACAGCGGAUUCCGGCAAAAUCCAGGGAGGAGAGGUAUCCUUUCUGGACUGCACUACAAUGAUAACUGGUUGCAUUGAUUCCUGGUUGCAGUGGUCCAUCUGCUAUCCAAAACUCAGAAAAGGAGACUACUCAGUCAAGACAAGUUUGGACAGAACACUCACAAAACCAUUUCACUGCGAGUUAUACCGUGUAUGUCUGUGUACGUGACAAAUAAACCAAACUUGAACUUUAACUUGAACUUCUUGUUCAAGAACAGAAAUGCUUCUGCAGUGUACAGAGUUGACCAGGUAUACAGUCACCCCCACCACCGUCUGCUGCUAUGGCCCAUGGUUGAUAUACUGUUGUGUCUUCCUGGGUAUCCCCAGGUCCAACGGAUUAAUUGUCUGUAAGCAAUGUAUCUAGAUUUUCUGGAAUGAUAAAAAAUGAUGUCAAAUAUUACUUAGAAACAAUAAAAAAAUCAUACUCUUUGUCUAUGUUACUGUGGCAUGUAACCUGGGUUGUGAAUGCAGUUGUUUUUGUUUCAUCUAUUAAUUAUGUAGUUUUGUCUAUUAGCACAGAGGGCUGUUUUUAGUACAUGUACACCCAGACAUACUGCAGUGAAUCCAGGAUACAUGUUCAUGUACACAUACAUCCACACAGAACGUGGUGAAUGCAGGAUGCAUGUUAAAGCACACGUACAUACAGACAGAACGUGGCAAAUCCAGGAUGCCCAGUAAUACACUAAGCAUUAGCUUCCUCAGAAAGGACACAAACAUAGUUGCUGCAGCAGACACUUUUGUCAAGUGUUACCAUGGAACAAAAGGGUUUAUUUGGGCUUAUACUGCUUGCUCUAUUUCAUGCUGAUUGUUUUGUGUUGCUUUUUUAUAUUCCUGGUUGAAUGUUGGCUGAUCCCGAGUUUUCUUUUAAUAUAUUGUUGGGUUGUUUGACUGCUGUUUGCUGACACCUUCAUUUUACUUGAAACAAUUAGUCCUGUUUGAUUUGUACAAUAUAACACCAAUAUGUCACAUUGCCUGUGAAAAUGUUUUGAAUCAGAAUAGGAAUCAGGCAUUAUUGGUCAAGUGUGUUUGUACAUGCAAGGAAUUUGUGCAAAGUCUCACAGUGGCUCACAGUACACAGUAUAAACUACACAAAAUACAACAUGUAUUACACAGUAUACAAUAUACAGUAUACAGUACUGCAGGAAAGGGGAAAAAUGUGCAGUAAGGUACAGAAUGUUUAGUCGAUAGAUAGAUAGAUAGAUAGAUAGAUAGAUAGAGAACACAUUUAACAAAACUAUAUAUAGAGA